CAGCGGUCAUGGAGAGUCUCCAUCCAGCUGGAUCACUGUCACAGACAAACCCACCACCACACCUCCACCUACAUCCACACCUCCACCUACGUCAGGAUCGAUCCCAACAUCCUCAUCUGCUUAUGGCUCCUCUCCUGUUCUUGCUGUAGUGGUACUUGCUGGAUUAGUCUGUUUUGUGGUUUUGCUGGUGUUUCUGGUUCUGCUGGUGAAACGAUGUGUCCGUUGGAAACCUGAAGAGACUGACCCAGCUGCAAUCUACUCGGGAACGAGAUCUGAAGAUGUCAGUUAUGGACAAAUCAUCAUCAAAGAUAAGAGCAAAAAUUUGCAGAUAAGAGAGAGUGAUCCAGCUUCAGUCUACUCAACAGUGAGCAUAGAAGACAUCACUUGUGGAUAUCAUCAGACUACAGGACAAGAGGUAAAGAAAAGAGACUUUAAAACAGAGCCAGACGUUGUCGAAGCUUCACUGAAGUAGUCCACCAGUCCAACCACUGACAUUCCCUACUGGUCUCCCCAUCACCUCAAAAAACAAUCUUCUUUUUUAAUGGAAUUUUUAAAAGUCUGUGUAAAUUCUCAGUUAUGCAUAUCAUGGUUGUCUAAGGAGCUUGAAAACAG